UGGGGAAUUUUGGACAAUGGGCGAAAGCCUGAUCCAGCAAUGCCGCGUGUGUGAAGAAGGCCUUCGGGUUGUAAAGCACUUUUGUCCGGAAAGAAAUCCUUGGCUCUAAUACAGUCGGGGGAUGACGGUACCGGAAGAAUAAGCACCGGCUAACUACGUGCCAGCAGCCGCGGUAAUACGUAGGGUGCAAGCGUCAAUCGGAAUUACUGGGCGUAAAGCGUGCGCAGGCGGUUUGCUAAGACCGAUGUGAAAUCCCCGGGCUCAACCUGGGGAACUGCAUUGGUGACUGGCAGGCUAGAGUAUGGCAGAGGGGGGUAGAAUUCCACGUGUAGCAGUGAAAUGCGUAGAGAUGUGGAGGAAUACCGAUGGCGAAGGCAGCCCCCUGGGCCAAUACUGACGCUCAUGCACGAAAGCGUGGGGGAGCAAACAGGAUUAGAUACCCUGGUAGUCCACGCCCUAAACGAUGUCAACUAGUUGUUGGGGAUUCAUUUCCUUAGUAACGUAGCUAACGCGUGAAGUUGACCGCCUGGGGAGUACGGUCGCAAGAUUAAAACUCAAAUGAAUUGAC
rnacentral:rRNA from 1 species